UGGGCCUGGACGGUUGCCCCUAUCGCCCACCCUCUGGGACGGGCCUGUGUCUACCGCCACCAUCACACCACUUACCGCCGGCUUCACUCUCAACAAACACUAACCACACUUAUAGCAGAGUGGGUAGGUUACCCUUCUUCUAUACCAGUUGCCGCUUCACCAUUCUCCUCCACCAAUAACUCCAUUAAUCCCCACCACAUGCCGGUGCUCCCUUAUCCUCUUUACUUUUCUUCUAUGUGAUUGAAAUAUACAGUUUGGAAUAUGGGAAUUUCUUUUUUAUUCUAGGGUUUUUGUUGGAAGACACCAAAACAAUGACCAUCAUCUAAUAACCGCACCUACUCCCUUCUCCCCGGGACUCUCCACGGUAACACAUGUAUGCUUCGUUUCUCUCUUCUUCACCCUAUUCUUUUCGAUUUAUUGUUUGAUUUUCAAUUCCUAAUAUCUCUUUUCACAUAAUCAAAUUUUUUACUUAAUUUUUGUUGUUACAGGGUUUUGAUUUUAUGUAAUGGAUUAAAAAUCACAAUUUCAAAAUUCAUCAGCUAAAAGGAAAGCGGUUUUCGUUAAUAUCCAUCUUCAUAUUCUGAUCCUGACUUACUUUUUCUCUCGAUUUGGUUAUCAUUUUUUACUAGAAAAAAUAUGUUUUUUUGGUUGAUUUUCUUACUCUUCCUAUGCAGAAGACGAUAACAACAAGAUAAGAAGGCUCUAUCAAACGUUUUCAAGGUAUCAACAAGUAAAAGGUAACGUCACUACUUUUGUGGUUUGUAGACUUGGCCUCGAGCCCUUACUGCAUCUUCUUUCCAGUUUUUUUUUAGAAUAAAAUGUUAAAUGAAUGAAGCAUACAUAUAGAAUUUGCUUUCCCUAUGUGCCCUGAACCCCGUUUGUAGUCACCAGGUUUAAAAGUGACCUACAUUCUAUGUAUCCAUGGCAGCUACAUGACCCACCUGGUCACCUCUUGUUUUUUUUCACUAAACAUGAUUAUCUAUUUUAUGAUAUAAGGUGUUGAAGACAUCGAUUGGGCCGUAGAGAUGCUCAUAUCCAUUGAUUUGAAGGUUGUUAACAUCCUGCUUGAUUGUGUAAGUCAAGAUUAUAAAAGUAUCUUAUGAUAAUGAAUGGAUUAAAAAAUAAUUUUAAUGAUUAUAAGUAACAAAAGUCUUAUCAUCUACAUUUAUCGUUUCCUCAGUAAUGAAGUUUUGGGUUGUUAGUUUUUGAAAUGGUCCUACAAGAAAAUUGAACUUACCAAUUAUGGUUACCGUAAAAACAUUACCUUCGUAUUACUUCAUGCAAACGUCAUAAAGAGUUAUAAUUUUGGUUCCUGUAGUGUACAUUUUUUAGCUUUGUAAGGGCAGAAUAGUCAUAUUUAUAGUAUUCACAUCUAUCUUGUUUCAUGCAUUCAUGGUGUCUCAUGUUCAAGGCAGUAUAAUUAUCCCAGAACGUGAAGUAGUUAUAAGUGCAAAACCAUGAUUUGGUGGUGGUGUGUGAACUUCACUUUUUCUUUCUCUUUGUUUUAUAUGGUCACCAUUUCUUAACAUUGCUUUCCUCUUGUUUUUGUACAGGUGAAGAAGAAUAUGUGGGUUUUCUUUUCAACUUUUUCACUGUUGUUCUCUGGUAAUGUGAAAGGGGCCUCAUUUUGCUAAUUUUGUGUCUUCGGUGUUUAUGUUUACAUAACCUUUUGGGCUCUUAUCUUCCGAUUUUCGGGUGUAAAAAAUUAUAAAUCUUUUUGCUAUAUUCUUAAAAUGAUAUUGGACUAAGAAAAGAAACAUGUAUAGUAUUAUUCUAGAGUCUAAAUUUUGUUCUUUGUGAUCUGUUUUAGAUUUCUUUUUUUAGAAACAUAAAGAUGAAAUUUUCUUUCCUUGAUAACUUGUAAAUGUUUUCACCCCUUUUUAGGUGCUUUUGGGUGGGUUUAUGGUAAAUAAACUGAACCUAUUUUGGAGUAAUAAUGGAUGGGCGUUGGCAUUUAGUUGACAUUCCUCAUUCAAAAGCAUUGAUAACUCUUAGAAGAGUGAGAUAACUUAGAAGAAUGAGAUAACUUAGAGACCCAUCCACUAAUUAACAAAUUUGCUGUUUGUUUUUCUAUAAAAACCUCUUCAAACCACUUAUUGCUGCGCGGCGCAGCACACGCGCAACACUUUCCAUCUCGCAGCAGUUUGUUUUUUGGAAGACUUCAGACUACAAAACAUCUGCACGUGUGCUGCGUAGCGCAGCACUUGACUUGCCUCUUUUAACCUCUUCAACUUUCAUUUUUUCUAAGUGUUUUUUUAAGAAUUUUUGUAUAACUUUUUUUUUAAUUUUUUUUUUAAACUUUGAUUUUCUUAAAUUUUUAUUUACGGAUGUGAC
rnacentral:lncRNA from 1 species